UACUUCCCAUCGAUUACAAUUUCCCCAUAUUUCUUCCCCAAAUUCAACACCAAAAACUCUACGGCAUGUCGGCGGUAGGCUAUGGUUUUGCUGAAGCAUAUGUGCUGAGGGACCUCCACAAGAAGAAGAUGAAGACGGAAAGAGAAGAAAGAGCCAAGCUCGGCAGGGCGGAGUUGGAACCGGAAAUGGUAACGUCGAGUGGUUGCUUCUUCUUCUCGGUGUUGAAAAAAGUCCAUCCAAGCAAUGUUCAAAGGACUUGUUCUGCUGAAACUGAAGAAGUUGGAACUUUGAACCAUAAAGAUUACGGAAACUGAAGAAAACAAGACAUGGCUAAAAGAACAAAUCCCCAGGGAAACAUCGAAGCAUAUCCGCUGGCGGAAAUAUAGUAGCUAAGGCGUCUGCAACAAAGUAGCUUUUUCGAAACUCAUGCUGGACGGAGAUGGUGAAGUCCAAUCUCUUGUCAGGGCCGGCUCAGGCCCAGUGCAGGCAGGGCGACCGUCCAGGGCCCUAAAAAAUUAGGGGCACCAAAAUUAUUAGGGUGGUAUAUUUAUAUAUGUUUUUAUAAGAGUAUAAAUUUAUAAAGUUUGGUUCAAAUACACAGAAAUUAAACUAGAAGUGGUGGUUUGUCAUUUAAAAAUAAUGAGGAGGUCUUGGGUUCGAAACACCACAUGUGUGCUUAUUUACUUUCCAUUUUUCAAUUAUUUUUGUUGUUUAAAAUUAACAAGAGGUCCUAAGUUCGAAAUGCUAUGUGCAUGUUUAUUUUUUUCAAUUUUUACAAAUUUUUGUGUGGUUGUUAAUUUAUUUUUAGUUACUAGUAGCUAUGUAGGUUGUUAUUUUUAAAUAUUCAUUUUCAUUUAAGUCUAAUCUUCAACAAAAAAUAAUACGUAGACCAAAUUUGCAAAUUAUAUGAUGUGUCAUCAAAAUGUUUAAUUUAGUGCCCAUUCAUUAAUAAGACAUAUCAAUUAAAGACUCAAAAACAUCAUUAUUGUUUAGUCUCAUAUUGACAAGGUUAUUAAAUAAGAAAAAAAAACAUCUCACGAUUUAUUCAAAAACACAUUCAAAGUUCAGAUGAAAAACAAAACUCAUCAUCUAUCUACUUGUAAGCCCGAAGUUUUUUUGUUUCCCUCUCUCAAUACAAAAUAAAUUAGUCUUUCAGUGUUUCUAAAUUAUUGAGUUUGAAGUGUUUUUCUCAGUAUAAUUUUUUCGAUGUCUUAUGUGUGAAAAUAAAAAAAUUUCUUACAUGAAGUUAGGGCACUUUUUUUUACGUCGCCCGGGGCCUCAAAAAUCUUUGGACCGGCACUGUCUCUUGUGUGCUGUAUAUAUAAGACAUUGUUCUAUUGAAUGAUUAUUUUUUGCAUAAAACUCUUUUGUCAGUCAAGCUCUAAUAAAACAUGAUCGCUAGUUAUUUCAACCUAACAAUUAUAAAGUACCGGAUAUAAUUCCCAAAACAAAAGGUUACAAAUGUGUACAGAACUUGUAAGACCCUCUAAACUCGUAUACAAACUCACGAAAACUCUGCAAAUUCACAUUCGUUAGUUUGCUUUAAGGCGGAAAGCAUGUCGGAAUUCAGACUUUUGGCCCUAGCGGAGAAAACAGCAACUCUCAAUCGAGAGCCAAGAAAGAAAGUCCUCGCAACAGAAGGCUUACUCAAAUCCAAAUUCUUAGGAUAUGUCUGAAAAUUAAAAGAAUGGAACUCCAUUUUGCACCUGAAAUGUUCCGGAUACAUAUUUCGGUCCAAGGAAUGAACCAUAUGUUUACUCAAACACAAUCUGCUAGCAGCUUCAUCGACCAUCCGAUCAUGUUUUUGUUCUAGUAGUACUACUAUGGUCGUUGAACCGAAGCUUGUGCUCGAAAACAAAAUCACCAUUAUUACAACUAGUAGUACAACUAUGGUGUUGAAGGGACCGAAACCAAUAAAAAUAAGGAAAACUAAUGAAAAGGGCUUGAAAACUUUGAGUUUUAAUGAUAAGGACAAAAUAAAGGGUAAAGUGAAUAGUAGCAGGAUUGACUUUUUAGUGUAAAAAUGUGGUUUUUCGUUAAAGUGAACAGUACCGGGUGAUUUUCGUUAAAGUUCCCAUAAAAAUAAGCUCGUGGUCGUCUCCUGGAAAAUAUAGCACCCCAUUGUAUGCAAAGGAGACCUCCGCAAGGUUAUCACUAUAAGUAUCGCGGGGAUGACACAACUUCGAGCUUACAAGUAGAUAGAUUAUGAGUUUUGUUUUCCAUCUGAACUUUUAAAGUGUUUUUGUAUAAAUCGUGAAUUUUUCUUAUUUACUAACCUCGUCAAUAUAAGACUAAAAAAAUAUUAAUGUUUUUGGGUCUUUAUAAGGAUAUGUAUAAGUAAUGAAUGAACAUUAAAUUAAACAUUUUGAUGACACGUAAUAUUACUUGCAAAUUUGGUCUAAAAAUUUAAUCUACGCAUUACUCUUUACUGAUGAUGAGACUUGAAUUGGAAUGGAUAUUUAAAAAUAGCAACCAACAUAGCUACUAGCUAGUAAAUAAAUUAACAACCAAACAAAAAUUUGUAAAAAUUGAAAAAAAUAAACAUGCACAUAGCAUUUCGAACUUAGGACCUCUCAUUAAUUUUAAACAACAAAAACCAUUGCUUCUAAUUAAACAUCUUGAUCAUUUAGCCAAAUUUUAUAAAUUUAUACAUUAUGAAAAGAAGCACACAUGGUGGUUUGAACCUAAGACCUUCUCAUUCAUUUUAAACAACAAAACCACUAGUUCUAGUUAAAUUUCUUUGUCACUAAACCAAAUUUUAUAAAUUUAUACUCUUAUAAAAACAUAUAUAAAUAUACCGCCUUAAUAAUUUUGGUGCCCCCAAUUUUUUUGGGCCCUGAACGGUCGCCCUGCCCGCACUGGACCUGGGCCGGGCCUGGAGAAGACCUCCAGGCACCUUUCGCAGAUUCAUCGCGGCCGAGGGGGGGGGGAAGAAUUCUCAACACCUUGCACCUACACUCAGCAUCAAGUUGGAUGUCAUGUCCUUUCCAAGAAAAUAAGAAUCCGCGAUUGAAGUGCGCCAAGGCUUGGACAGAGACUUGCAUUAGAAAAUAAAUUUGUUGCUUGGAAGUCGGCAAAGGAUUUCAACCAGUACAACGUCAGGGAGAUCGUCAAUUGAUGAUGACCGUCUUUCGGCUGAUGAUAUCUUUGAUCUUUUUUACUGACAAGAAAUCGGCAACCCAAGAGACGAUUGGGAUCUCUUCCUUCCUUCGGCUUGAGUAUCACACUUAGCGUCCCUGGAUGAUUGACUUCCUGCAAGAUUUCGCAUAUCCUCGUAAGAAAAAGAGUCUAAUUGCCCAUCAAAAUAUCAAUACUUGCGGGUACAUUAGUCAAACGAAAACCAUCAGUCUAAUGGAAAAGCUCUUACCACCCUCGGAUAUUCCAUUUAAGAUUUUCGGAUCCAUGUUUAAAUGAAUAAAAAAAGGAGAUGGUAAACACCAUUUUCUUGAAGUUCUAAUCAAACCGUUAUCGUUUCACAUAAAUAAUUUCAAAACGUAAAACGCAUCUUGUCAUUUUCUAGCAAUAGAUAUAUGAUAUAGAAAAUAAUAUUUUAAUUUUUAAAUAAGAGGAAGUGUAGAUAGAUGUCUGAUAAAAAAUCAAAAAUUAAAUUUAGUCUAUAGACUUUAUUUAAUGUCGCCACAUGCAUUCAAUGUCAUUUUUUAUUUUUUAUUUUUUUUAUUUUUUUGUCUUUUUAUUUUAUAAUUUCGUGGUGUCUAUUGAAACCAAAUUCACACACCGUCGCUAACGAAGGAGGUUGGCAAGUCUGGUUACCGGUUAGAAAGCAAAUAACCAUAGUCAAAACCUUGACACCCUUUUAACACAAAUUAAAAAAUGACAGGCAAUGAGUACGCCCCACUAACAUGAGUGCGUCGCAUGUUAACUUUUAGUUUUUGGUCGUCACCGAUUGCAUCACAUCAACUGUCUUUUUAUAUCCACUUUACACAACAAGAAUUGGUUCAUCACAAACCAAACACAUUAGCACUUGUAUUUUCUUUUUGUUGUUUGAGAUAAGUAGAUUCUUUUAAUUUUGUCUUUAAAAAAGUUACAAAGAAGAUUCUUUACGGAUAUUGAUGGGUCGAUUUUAUAUUAUAUAGGGUAAUAUUUUACCUUAUUUUUAGUAGGUUUUGAUAAUUAUUUUGGUUGAAUUUUGAUACUUUAUUUUGUAUUUUCAAUAUAGGACAUUCAACUUCCCCUGAAUCAAAAUAUGACCAAACGGACAAAUUUUAGAGUGAUUCAAAUUGGAGGACGUUCAUAUGUCUCUUAGCGUGUUCGUGUCAAAAUUUCGGUUUUUUCUACCAAACUGUUAUUUUCUGGCGAUGGAAUAAAGAAGCAAUGUGAGUUGUUUGAAAGUGACGUUUAUGGGCUUAAUUGCGAUUUUUGAAGCUCAAGAUGACCUCUAAUGGGCUUAAUUUAUUUUGGUUUCAUAGUCUUAUUGGAAGAUUUUAGGUGAAUUGAAUUAUAGCAGUUUAAAUAAGCUUGGCCGAGCUUAGAGAUUUUCGGACUUUUACAUUCAAGGUGUUUUUGAUCUUUUAUAUUUCAAUACAAUUCCUUUUGAUUUCAAUACAAUUCCUUCUAAUUUUAAUUAUGAAUAUGCGUAACUAAUCUCUUUUGCUAAGGUGAGGCCACGAGCUUAGUAAGAAUAUGUAGUUUAUUUUCAAUUUGCUUAUGAUAAUAUGCAUGCAGGUUUUUGAGUUAUUAAUCAAUGGUUUAAACUAUCUAAGUAUCUUGAUGAUUCGAGACCAUUAUAAUGUUUAGAAAAGUAAUUUGUUGCAAUUUUGGUCGAAGGUAGGUCCCUGAAAUUGACGAAGGCUUCUUGUGGUUAAUAUGUGAACCAUGUUGGUUGUAACACUUAGUAUCACAUACUUUGUGUCAAAGUACGCAUGUUGAAGCUCUGAGUUAGAGUAUAAGGGUAGGUCAGCGUAGACCAAGUGUUCCAGUGCUAGGAAUGCAAAAGACUCAAGAGAAGUUGUCUGAAUUCCCUCUUCUUUAAAUAUUUGCCGAAUGGCUUGUGUGACAAAAGAUCGCAAGCGGUUGAGGGUCAAAACAUUUGUAAUGUGUAUGCCUUCUUAUAAUAGCAUUUCCUUCAAUACCUAAUCCUCCACUUUGAAAGAGUGAAGCUUUGCCCUAUAGUCAUAAUAGUCGACGGUACGUUCACCCCUGGUUGUUUUGAUACGAACUUUUAUCCCUCUUGUUGUAAUGGGCUUCCUGAGAGUAAAAAUCUUUCCUUUUACCAAGAGACAGAUACGUUUGGUGACUUAGCGAGUAGCUAAAUGAGGCAGGAGAUGAUGCAAUGGGUGUCUGAAUGGUCAAGAUCUCCUUACUUGGUAGAACUUGACUUCCACUUCCCAUUCGUAUGUCCUUGCUUCGGCGGAGGCGUGAUUGUAAGCUUGUGCCAUCACCUCAGAGUAAGUCUUCCAUUUGUUGGCAUUAAUCAUGUACUUGAAGAAACAAUCACGUAGGCAUGUCCUGAAGACCUUGAGGGCUGUCUUGUCAUCUGCCUCGGUACAACAGGAAUACUCAUGGCUGAAGCGGCCAGCAUACAUAUGUAAUGACUCGUCUGGCUUCUGGCAAAUAGUGUACAAGUCACCCGCAGAGUGCAAGCGAUCGAUCUGGAAAAUGUGUUGAGAAACAAACAGUUUCCUCAAUUCCUCAAAUGAGUCUACCGUCUCAGGUGGAAGACGAUAAUACCAGUUUAGAGUUCCGCCAGAGAGCGUGGAGGGGAAGAGAAGACAUCGCUCUUCGUCGGUGUGCAUCCGGUAUGCCAUGGUGGACUCAAAAAGGUUAAGGUGUUCAAUCGGGUCCUCCUUUCUAGUAUAUAGUUGCAAGCAAAGCUUCUGCUUUGUCUUUGCUUGGAGGGGGUGGAAAUGAUCCUCCUUGUAAGAGGGCCAAGCCUAGGUUGGUUCCAAUCAUGUAUCUCAGCUUGUCGUUCGGCCUUCAACUUGUUUACUUCCUUAAAGAUCUGUAGGACAAGAGGGUCCUGAGUGGAGUCAUAUACCGCUGGAGCUUUCUUUCGUAAAUCUCCAUCUCCUCUUGGAAGUAGGAAGGUUUGAUCAAGAGCAUGUGAUUUUUCCCUGGACUCAUCGUACUAACUUCCAAGGUAUGUCUGUCGGAACAUCUCUAAGUCCUCUAUACCUUCGUGUUUCUCUAGAACUUGUUGCCCCUUCCCCAAAUUGGUAGUUGGCCUGGGACAUGGGAGGAGACCGAGUCUUUCAGAGACCCUUGGGUCAUUGAUCUUCGAGCUUACAUGGAUGGGAUUGUCCCGACGUUGCUUUAGGAAGUCUCCACAGUCGUGAAAGACGACUUUCGAUCCUUCCACUCCUUCUGUAAAAAGGUGCCUUCCUCCACUCCUCCUGCUUCGGGUCGAAGCAGCUGGGUUGAGAGAAGUCUCAUGUUGGUCGCCAUUUCGAUGAGUAGCUCGCUCCUCAACAAGAAUACCCAUGCCGAGGGCAAAUGACCCUCCGUGUUGGGGGGCACCCAGUUAAUGGUUGACUUCCACAUGGGUGAUGAGCUCGUGUGUUUUAGUAUAUCUAGCCUCGUGGAGCAUCUAAAAGACCUUCUCAUACUGCUCUUGGAGGAUCUCAUUCUUCAUCGCUAUCUUGUUGUUCUGAGCUUCCAACUCAUCGACUUUAGCCUGAAGAGCAAACUUCUUUUGUUCCUUCUUUCGUUGCUUCGCACCAGGUGCGAGGGGGGUGUUGUUCUGCUGUUGUGGCUUCCUUCGCUCCCCAUGUUGGAAAGGGAUACCUGGUCAAAAGAGAGUGUACGAAUGGUGGAAACCAGCUUAACAAAGCUAAAAAGAGUGGGAAUAAGUGUCGUUCCCACAUACGGCGCCAAAUGUUGAUGCACAAAAUCAGUGAAGACUUUGGUACAAUAGAAAGUGUUAAGUUUGUGACCUUCGCUAGAUUGCUCCGGUCACUAGUGUGGAUAAGUAUGCAAAUGGAUAGAGAUAGGGAAGCAAACACAAGAUGUACGUGGUUCACCCAAAUUGGCUACGUCCACGGAGUAGAGGAGUUCUCAUUAAUUGUGAAGGGUUUACACAAGUACAUAGGUUCAAGCUCUCCUUUAGUGAGUACUAGUGAAUGAUUUAGUACAAAUGACAUUAGGAAAUAUUGUGGGAGAAUGAUCUCCUUUUAUAGAAGAGAGUUUCUAGCUUUGUUCUGACAUUGACAAGUGUCGUGUUGUGAUUGGCUUCUGAUGUCGACACGUGUCGCACUAUGAUUGGCUUCUGAUGUCGACACGUGUCGCGCUGUGAUUGGCCUCCUGGUUUGAGGGAAACUCUUCUGAGUUCUUAACAGUAUAACGUUGAUCGGUGCUCAUUAGUUUCGGGAUUUGUCAAGUAUGGUAUAAACAUAAAGUAAAAAGCUAAUACAUUUCAGAAAAUUCUGAGCAAACGAGACAUUUUAGAAAAUUUAGUAGAAAAUUAUUUAACUGAAGAUAUAGUACGUGGGGAAGUUUCACUUUUGGGCCUGUUUUCUCCAAUAAUAAAUAAAUGAGGAAGGCAUAAAUAUUGGACAGAUGAAUAGAAUAAAUUCAUCCCAUUCCGAAUCCCCUUCAAACACGACAUACAAUAUGCAAAACAUGCAUGUAGAAAAGUAGAAAACAAAUACAAGUAACAAACAAAAUGUAGAAUGGUAAAGUGAGAAAAGAAUCAAACCACUAUGUGUAAAAGUUGAGAUUUCACCAUAAAAUUAAUUGGCAAUAUAAGAAGAAGUCCAACUUAUUUAUAAGCUCAUGUAAGGUCCCUCCUUCCUUCAAUGUGGGAUUUAUUCUCAACACACGCCCUCACGUUCAACGAAUUUUCAAGCCUCAAUGUGGAAUAUAUGAAUAUGACCUGGCACUUUCAUUAAAAAAUGAUUUCGUGCAAGGUUAUAAUUCUAGACUGGGCUAUGUUUAGCUCUUUCGGUUGGAGAUGACUUUAUAGGCCCAUACAAGAUCUCUCAUCCCAUCAAUAUGUGUGAUUCAUUCUCAACAAUAUUGCUUUGUCCAACAACUGAACUUCAUGCUUAAUGCACAAGUAUCACACAAGUAUGUACUCUAAUUUUUUUUAAAGUACUUUUACCCAAAAAAAAAUUCAAAUAGAUCUUCAAGUGACAAUGAAAAUAAAAAAGGAAAUUCAAAAUUUGAAUAGUUCGCUCUAUUAUAUAUUUGACUUACUCAAAAUUAAAGUUUGAUCAUGCAUUUAAACAAAAAUUUAAGGAGGAAAACUCGAAUACAUGAAAGAAUAAAUUGAGUUAAAAGAAUUAGAUGAUAGUAGCCUUUCAAAAGUGGUCAUUUCUUUGAAAGGGAGAGAACCAUCAUUAAUAAAGGCAUCUUAUUGUAAACUUCUCGUUUACUCAACAAUUGUAGGUACCUAACUAACUAGCUUGACGCGAAGAGAAAAAAAACCCCAAUGAUUAUGACCCACUAACAUGACUUGUGUCACACGUUAACUUGUUAGUUUUUUUGUCAUCAUAGAUUACAUCACAGAAACCGUCUUUUUAUAUCCACUCCACACAACAACAAUUGUUUCAGUACAAACCAAACAGAUCAUCAUCACUAUUAUCUUUCUUUUUUCGUUUAAGAUAAGAAGAUUCACCCAUUUUUCCUCCACAUCUGUAAGAUGAACCCAAUUUUGUACAUUUAAACAACAACAGAAAUUAUAAAACAUUGAAAAAUAGAGUUACCCGAAACUUCAAACAAAAUAAGUCACAAGUUAUAUUCAAUAGAAUUAUUGCAAUUUUUUAAAUAAAUUUAAUUAUGUAAAGUUAUACAAAUAAUUAAGUUGAGAUUAUAUUAAUGUGAACAGUACAUCGCACAUCCGGCCCUAAAAGUUAAUAAAAGUUGGUUCCAAUCAAAAUCACCAACAACCAAUUUCGUCGUUGCCGCUACAAGGCAAAAGUCAAGACUCAAAGCCGUCAUAAAUAAAUCUGUCAACGGUCAAAUCGGAAAAAGCAAGAUGACUGCGUGUUCCCCAAACAAUUUCGUCGUUGCCGCUACAAGGCAAAAGUGAAGACUCAAAACCGCCAUGAACAAAUCUGUCAACGGUCAAAUCGGAAAAAGCAAGAUGACUGCGUGUUCCCCAAGAAAGCAUAAACCUCCUAUAAAUAUACUAAUCUCAUCACCCUCUGAAUACUUCCUAUCAGCUGCAAAUUCCCCAUAUUUCUUCCCCAAAUUCAACACAAAAAACUUUACAGCAUGUCGGCGGUAGGCUAUGGUUUUGCUGAAGCAUAUGUGCUGAGGGAUCUCCACAAGAAGAAGAUGAAGACGGAAAAAGAAGAAAGAGCCAAGCUCGGCAGGGUGGAGUCGGAACCGGAAAUGGUAACGUCAAGUGGUUGUUUCUUCCGCUCGGUGUUGAAGAAAGUCCAUCCAAGCAAUGUUCAAAGGACUAGUUCUGCUGAAACUGAAGAAGUUGGAACUUCGAACCGUAAAGAUUACGGAAACUGAAGAAAACAAGACACAGCUAAAAGAACAAAGCCCCAGGGAAACAUAGAAGCAUAUCUGCUGGCGGAAAUAUAGUAGCCAAGGCGUUUGCAAGAAAGUUAGCCUUUGCGAAACACAUGCUGGACGGAAAUGGUGAAGUCCAAUUUCUUGUGUGCUGUAUAUAUAAGACAUUGUUAUAUGUAUAAUGAACUGAUUAUUUUUUCCAUAAAACUCUUUUGUCAAUCAUGCUCUAAGAAAACCUGAAUAGCGCGCUAGUUAUUUCAACCUAACAAUUAUAAAGCACCGGAUAAGUCCCAAAACAACUUGUAAGACCUCUAAACUCG
rnacentral:lncRNA from 1 species